GCCAGUGUUGCUAAGUGGUAAAAGCACUGGCCCAUCCACUGAGGGGUCACAGGUUUGAUUCCUGGUCAAGGGCA
rnacentral:tRNA from 1 species